UUUGGCACCUCCUAAAGUCAAGAAACUGGAUGAUACAGAGAAGAUUAGCAUACCCCUGUGCAAGGACAACAUGCAAAUUCAUGAAGCACUCGAUAUUUAU
rnacentral:snRNA from 3 species